GCAUAUCAAAAAGCGGAGGAAAAGAAACCAACUGGGAUUACCUUAGUAACGGCGAGUGAAGCGGUAAAAGCUCAAAUUUGAAAUCUGGUACUUUCAGUGCCCGAGUUGUAAUUUGUAGAAUUUGUCUUUGAUUAGGUCCUUGUCUAUGUUCCUUGGAACAGGACGUCAUAGAGGGUGAGAAUCCCGUUUGGCGAGGAUACCUUUUCUCUGUAAGACUUUUUCGAAGAGUCGAGUUGUUUGGGAAUGCAGCUCAAAGUGGGUGGUAAAUUCCAUCUAAAGCUAAAUAUUGGCGAGAGACCGAUAGCGAACAAGUACAGUGAUGGAAAGAUGAAAAGAACUUUGAAAAGAGAGUGAAAAAGUACGUGAAAUUGUUGAAAGGGAAGGGCAUUUGAUCAGACAUGGUGUUUUUUGCAUGCACUCGCCUCUCGUGGGCUUGGGCCUCUCAAAAAUUUCACUGGGCCAACAUCAAUUCUGGCAGCAGGAUAAAUCAUUAAGAAUGUAGCUACUUCGGUAGUGUUAUAGCUUUUUGGAAUACUGUUAUGUCUCUGGGCUAUUCGAGGACUGCGCUUCGGCAAGGAUGUUGGCAUAAUGGUUAAAUGCCGCCCGUCUU
rnacentral:rRNA from 1 species